rnacentral:rRNA from 1 species
AUGGCGACCGGCGCACGGGUGAGUAACACGUAUCCAACCUGCCGAUGACUCGGGGAUAGCCUUUCGAAAGAAAGAUUAAUACCCGAUGGCAUAGUUCUUCCGCAUGGUAGAACUAUUAAAGAAUUUCGGUCAUCGAUGGGGAUGCGUUCCAUUAGCUUGUUGGCGGGGUAACGGCCCACCAAGGCAUCGAUGGGAUAGGGGUUCUGAGACGGAAGGUCCCCCACAUUGGAACUGAGACACGGUCCAAACUCCUACGGAAGGCAGCAG